UAGGGAAGUCUUCCACAAUGGACGCAAGUCUGAUGGAGCAACGCCGCGUGAGUGAAGAAGGGUUUCGGCUCGUAAAGCUCUGUUGUUAAAGAAGAACGUGGGUAAGAGUAACUGUUUACCCAGUGACGGUAUUUAACCAGAAAGCCACGGCUAACUACGUACCAG
rnacentral:rRNA from 1 species